UACAGAGGGUGCGAGCGUUAAUCGGAAUUACUGGGCGUAAAGCGCGCGUAGGCGGCUUUGCAAGUCGGGUGUGAAAUCCCCAGGCCUAACCUGGGAACUGCAUUCGAGACUGCAUGGCUGGAGUAUGGGAGAGGGAAGUGGAAUUUCAGGUGUAGCGGUGAAAUGCGUAGAUAUCUGAAGGAACAUCAGUGGCGAAAGCGACUUCCUGGACCAAUACUGACGCUCAUGUGCGAAAGCGUGGGGGAGCAAACAGG
rnacentral:rRNA from 1 species